rnacentral:rRNA from 1 species
UUAACACAUGCAAGUCGAACGAUGAAGCUCCAGCUUGCUGGGGUGGAUUAGUGGCGAACGGGUGAGUAACACGUGAGCAACCUGCCCCUGACUCUGGGAUAAGCGCUGGAAACGGCGUCUAAUACUGGAUAUGUCCCAUCACCGCAUGGUGUGUGGGUGGAAAGAUUUUUCGGUUGGGGAUGGGCUCGCGGCCUAUCAGCUUGUUGGUGAGGUAAUGGCUCACCAAGGCGUCGACGGGUAGCCGGCCUGAGAGGGUGACCGGCCACACUGGGACUGAGACACGGCCCAGACUCCUACGGGAGGCAGCAGUGGGGAAUAUUGCACAAUGGGCGGAAGCCUGAUGCAGCAACGCCGCGUGAGGGAUGACGGCCUUCGGGUUGUAAACCUCUUUUAGCAGGGAAGAAGCGAGAGUGACGGUACCUGCAGAAAAAGCGCCGGCUAACUACGUGCCAGCAGCCGCGGUAAUACGUAGGGCGCAAGCGUUAUCCGGAAUUAUUGGGCGUAAAGAGCUCGUAGGCGGUUUGUCGCGUCUGCUGUGAAAUCCCGAGGCUCAACCUCGGGCUUGCAGUGGGUACGGGCAGACUAGAGUGCGGUAGGGGAGAUUGGAAUUCCUGGUGUAGCGGUGGAAUGCGCAGAUAUCAGGAGGAACACCGAUGGCGAAGGCAGAUCUCUGGGCCGUAACUGACGCUGAGGAGCGAAAGGGUGGGGAGCAAACAGGCUUAGAUACCCUGGUAGUCCACGCUGUAA